UGGGGAAUAUUGCACAAUGGGCGCAAGCCUGAUGCAGCCAUGCCGCGUGUAUGAAGAAGGCCUUCGGGUUGUAAAGUACUUUCAGCGGGGAGGAAGGGAGUAAAGUUAAUACCUUUGCUCAUUGACGUUACCCGCAGAAGAAGCACCGGCUAACUCCGUGCCAGCAGCCGAGGUAAUACGGAGGGCGCAAGCGUUAAUCGGAAUUACUGGGCGUAAAGCGCACGCAGGCGGUUUGUUAAGUCAGAUGUGAAAUCCCCGGGCUCAACCUGGGAACUGCAUCUGAUACUGGCAAGCUUGAGUCUCGUAGAGGGGGGUAGAAUUCCAGGUGUAGCGGUGAAAUGCGUAGAGAUCUGGAGGAAUACCGGUGGCGAAGGCGGCCCCCUGGACGAAGACUGACGCUCAGGUGCGAAAGCGUGGGGAGCAAACA
rnacentral:rRNA from 1 species